rnacentral:rRNA from 1 species
UACGAAGGGGACUAGCGUUGUUCGGAAUUACUGGGCGUAAAGCGCGCGUAGGCGGCUUUGUAAGUUAGAGGUGAAAGCCCGGAGCUCAACUCCGGAACUGCCUUUAAAACUGCAUCGCUUGAAUCCAGGAGAGGUGAGUGGAAUUCCGAGUGUAGAGGUGAAAUUCGUAGAUAUUCGGAAGAACACCAGUGGCGAAGGCGGCUCACUGGACUGGUAUUGACGCUGAGGUGCGAAAGCGUGGGGAGCAAACAGG